rnacentral:rRNA from 1 species
AGCGAACGCUGGCGGCAGGCCUAACACAUGCAAGUCGAACGAACCUUUCGGGGUUAGUGGCGGACGGGUGAGUAACACGUGGGAACGUGCCUUUAAGUUCGGAAUAACUCAGGGAAACUUGUGCUAAUACCGAAUGUGCCCUUUGGGGGAAAGAUUUAUCGCCUUUAGAGCGGCCCGCGUCUGAUUAGCUAGUUGGUUGAGGUAAUGGCUCACCAAGGCGACGAUCAGUAGCUGGUCUGAGAGGAUGAUCAGCCACAUUGGGACUGAGACACGGCCCAAACUCCUACGGGAGGCAGCAGUGGGGAAUCUUGCGCAAUGGGCGAAAGCCUGACGCAGCCAUGCCGCGUGAAUGAUGAAGGUCUUAGGAUUGUAAAAUUCUUUCACCGGGGACGAUAAUGACGGUACCCGGAGAAGAAGCCCCGGCUAACUUCGUG